GGAUUGGCCCUGCGGGCUCGGCCUUUUGUCAGCAGGCCGCACACGCGCCGGACCGGGUACCGCUGUGCCCGGCCUGGCCGCGGCCUAGUCCCGGCAGACGGGACUGACGAGGUCACCAAGCCCAGGCCGAGACGGCGCGGGUGUCAGGGACUUGGGAAUCCCCCUCCCCCAGUCCCGAUCCCGCUUUCCUUUGGGGUUUCACCUCAGAGGACCCGACAGCACUCUUGCAGGUGGGAACCUACACAAUAGGAGUAAUGUGGCUCCACCUUCCUCUCGGGACUCGGGACCUGGGGGUGGAGACUUGGAAGUUGCAAAGCUCUCGGUGCCGGGAAUCGGGGCUACGGUUGAGUGGGAUCGGGCCAGGGCUGAGGUGGUCCCACCCGUGUAGGGGCGCGGAGAAACGCCUCGACUGCUUCACUGUACCACCACCCACCCGCCACGGGCCUGGAAGGAGCCGCUAAACAUUCCCGAGCCUCAGUUUCCUUAGCACAAACAGGCUGGUAGUUUCCUGGUGCUUGCCAGAUGCCUGAUGGAUGAGAAAGCCUCCUGCGGCCCCGAAAGGGAGUCCAGAGCAGAGGCGGGCCCGCGGUCCACUUUUACAGGUCUGGACGGACUCACGGGACCACGGUCUGGGUGGGGCAUGCGGAAGGGCCUAGGCCAAAUGGGGAGUAGUGGUGAGGGCCCAGGGUCAGACUGGGGGGUGGAGUGAGGUUGUCUGGGAGUCUUGGCUUUAUGAACCGGAAAACCAGGCUAAUAAUUGAAUCCAAUCCAAGGGAUAUUGUAAGUUGUGAUGUGUUGACUGCAGUGCCGCUCCCUAUAGUUGCGCAGGGUGAGGGGCGUUUGGGUACUGAAAUCCCGCACGGUCUCCUUGCUACGCCCGUGUCUAGGCCAGACAGCCUCUGCUUACCAUAGACACCAGUUUCUCAUCCACAAAGGUGCCCAAGGCCCUGCUUGACACAACAGUGUUACAAGCUGUUAGCUUUGAUGAUUACUUGUUAUAUGGGGGAGUUCAACAAGUUGGUCGGUGUCCUUAGGAAAGUCACCCCUCUUCUUUCCUGUGCCUCCGUUUUCAUUGUCUUUAAAAUGGGUAUAAAGUUGGCUGACAGGUGAAGUUGAAAUGUGCACAGGUAAGGGAGGUAGUGCUGCCCACUGCCAGCAGGGGGCAGCUCAGGCAAGGAAAA
rnacentral:lncRNA from 1 species